AAUAAACGCUGGCGGCGUGCUUAACACAUGCAAGUCGAACGAGAAAGCUCCUUCGGGGGUGAGUACAGUGGCGAACGGGUGAGUAACACAUGGGAAUCUUCCUUUUAGUGAAGGAUAACCCUGGGAAACUAGGGCUAAUACUGCAUACGUCCCUUCGGGGAGAAAGAUGGCCUCUUGCUGUCGCUAAAAGAUGAGCCCGUGUCCUAUUAGCUAGUUGGUGAGGUAAAGGCUUACCAAGGCGAUGAUGGGUAGCCGGCCUGAGAGGGUGUACGGCCACAUUGGGACUGAGAUACGGCCCAGACUCCUACGGGAGGCAGCAGUGGGGAAUAUUGCACAAUGGGCGAAAGCCUGAUGCAGCGACGCCGCGUGGAGGAUGACGGUUUUCGAAUCGUAAACUCCUGUUAAGUGGGAAGAAAUACGUACGAGUAAUAUGCGUACGUUCUGACGGUACCACUAGAGAAAGCUCCGGCUAACUUCGUGCCAGCCGCCGCAGUAA
rnacentral:rRNA from 1 species